rnacentral:rRNA from 1 species
GAUGAACGCUGGCGGCGUGCCUAAUACAUGCAAGUCGAGCGAACAGACGAGGAGCUUGCUCCUCUGACGUGUGCGGCGGACGGGUGAGUAACACGUGGAUAAUCUACCUAUAAGACUGGGAUAACCUCGGGAAACCGGAGCUAAUACGGGAGAAUAUAUUGAACCGCAUGGUGGAAUGGUGAAAGACGGUUUUGCUGUCACUUAUAGAGGGAUCCCAGCCGCAUUAGCUAGUUGGUAAGUUAACGGGUUACCAAGGCAAGGAGGCGUAGCCGACCUGAGGGGGUGAUCGGCCACACUGGAAGUGGACCACGCUCAUGGCUCCUACGGGAGGCAGCAGUAGGGAAUCUUCCGCAAUGGGCGAAAGCCUGACGGAGCAACGCCGCGUGAAUGAUGAAGGUCUUCGGAUCGUAAAGCUCUGUUAUUAGGGAAGAACAAAUGUGUAAGUAACUAUGCACGUCUUGACGGUACCUAAUCAGAAAGCCACGGCUAACUACGUG